rnacentral:rRNA from 1 species
AUGAUAUUGACAAUUUUAAUAUCAAAUUUCACAUUCAUUGCACUUAAUUUUCGGAACAGGGUGAUCGCUUCGCUACUGCAGCUAUUUCUACAAAGUCCACCAAGAACUAUAGAGUAUGUAUCAAUGCACACACUUACUCCAGAUUCAACCAUCUCAUCAAACUUCUCUUUUGCAGCAACAGUUUGUCCAGCCAGAAAUAAUCCAUCCAGUAUGACGUUAUAA